GUUGAAAAUUCUUCAAAUAUUCCCCCAAAAUAUUUUUCUCUAAGACCGAAGCAUUUCUUUGAAUUGUGUUCAAAAAGUUAUUAAUCCCACUGCUGGACCUAGCAGUGGAAGCUAAUCUUAAAGGAGAACACAGCUUUCCUCUGCUUAAUGAAACCGAACUGAAGGGCGUUUUCUGGAGAGUCAGCCCAGCCCUUAAAACGAAUAUAAACCGAAAGCUUUUUUUUUUUAAGGCGGCGUCAUGCAUGGGGUUGUGUUCUCCUUAAGGAACCGGAGGGCCUCUGAGAAGCUGUGGUGGCAGCAGCACUGGCAGGAAUGCCUGGAGCUGUGUACUACUGGCCCAGGCUCCUCAGCUGGCGCGUCCCCCUCUGACUCGGCUCUGAUGGACGACGCAGGUGCUGGGCAGCGGAGAGGAUGGGAAGGAAUAACCGAUUAUCAAGGCGCAAGAACCUGGUGAUCAGCGGCUCAGCUGGAUGUGGUGCAUUCAAUUGUGUUGUGUUGAUGUGUUGGUUUAUAUGUCGUUUGGUAAUGUUAAAGUAAAGUGCAGUGAGGAUGAUGGUGACGCAUUUAAGGUUCAUUCAGCCAAUUUUGGCUGCUUACAACUAGGUUGGGUGGCAUCCUCUCUGCUUGCUAUUAUGCCGAGGGCGGUGACGUCUGGUUUGUCCUGUUCUGGUAGAAACAGGUCUUCCCGGUGCUGCUUUCCUGACCAGCUCACUUGCCUCCUGUCAAGGAUAUGAAAAGAUGUAUAUUAUGGUUAUUUCCAUGGUGUACAUAAUCACAACUUGAAGAGUUUCUCAAACAGGGGUUCUUGUGGUACCCCAAGACUAAUUCAUGGGUGACACAAUCUGAAAACAUCAAAUUAACUCAAAUCAGUUGACUGAACACUAACUUUUUAAAACAUGACAUUAAGAUUUGCCUGGGAUGCCUUGGAUUCAUUCUUCUGUUUGCAGAGAUGUAUUUCCCCCGGACAUAAUCAAUGCUAUCUUUGUUGCGGUGGUGGUUGAAAAUGAUAGCCAUGGAUUCAGUGGCUGACAUCACAGACCCUCACCUGGACUCUAGGGGUCUUUUGGCUGCUCUUCCGAGCUUCCAAGUCCAUCACUUCAUGGAGCAGGUCCUCUUUCUCUGCAUACAGAGCCUCCGUUCCACUCCUGAAGAGACGCACGUUCAGACAGUUAAGACAAUAACAACUGUCCAUGUCAGCACUAUCUCCUCCCGCUACAAUCUGAGUUGCAGGGGGUUUGGGUUACAUGGGAACCUUACACUGGCAGUCACAACUACAUAGACGGCCAUUGGAGGCCAUCGUUACAUCUGAUCCUACACACUGAUCCUACGUUUUUAAAUGUUUUGCAUUCUAACCCAUUUCAUCUGCCGUCAAUUGUUUAAGGGUUUAUUGUACCUGCCAUGGGUGUUGCACUCACCUGCGCAGUCUGAAGAAGUCCUGUUUCUUGUAGUAGUCCAGCAGCAGCAGGGUUCUCUCACGGCAGCGCCGUGCAUCCACCUCAAAGUACUCAUCCUGCAUCGAAGCUGUAAUGAUCUCCGCAAUGCGGGCCCAAAGCCUGACUGCACGAGCCGACACACACACACAAACCUCUUUAAGUGGUGACACCUAAUGCUGCUUUCCCACAGCCACAGUGCUCCACACACCGUCUUCCUUCAUGGUUUUCAUCAUGACUUCUAUUGCAUUAUUUAUUUUUUAACAAUCCCAGAUAUUCAAAUAACUUUUGUAUAGGGCUUUUGCAAGAAAUAUGACAAACCGAUGGUGGGACCAUUAAUAAUGUCCAGGGCUUAUAGUUCAACGGAAGUGAAGAGGCUCUAUAUAAGAACAGCAAUGUUUGUUAAAUGUUCAUCUCAGAUCCAGCAGUACUACUAUGCUUUUGAUGCGAGUAGAAUGUCUCGGGGGUAUAGCACAGGGACUGGGAACCAAACACUGAAGUGGGCGGAGAUACGCAUGUUUGUUCUUCUGUUUUUAGAUAUUUUCAGAUGAGAAACUCAAGGGGAUUUCUAUAAAUGUAUUUAUACAUUGGCAAGUCUAUACAGUGUUGGUUUAAAACCAUUUAUUUUGUUCUAAGAA
ensembl:lncRNA